AGAGGGUAGUGUUACUUGACUGAAGUCUUCCUUGGUUGCUUGCUGAUCUUUCCUAUAAAGAUCCAACUUUUCCUACAUUGCCUCUUACAUAGGCAGGACUUAGCAGGUUGCCUGUUAAGACAAGCCCAGAGGUGGCAUUACUUGGCAUUUGGCUGAUCAAUGACUCUUUGGAGCUCUGAGAACUGAGGCUCAAGGAGUGACUCUGUGAACUGCAGGAGUUCUGCCCUGGAUUCCACGGCCCAGCACAGGACUGUGAUUUAGUGCCUUGUGACUCAACCUCCCCAAAGCUCAUUUGCCUUUCUUUAGCCUGCAAUGCCCAGAAUGGAGCUGUUGGCAAAUCACAGUCCACACCCCAACUUUUCAGUCUUUUUGCUAAUUUCUGCUGCUUCACUUCAGCCUCCUGGAACAACAGUGUGAUGACUCACCAGCCCAACUUCCUUUUGGCGUGAAAUGACAUCCUGUGCAUUGAAGAGGCCAAAGGCUGGAGAGACCCCCCCCCCCCUGCAGCCCCGUUCUAUGGUGGAGAGAUCUGAGACCCAAAGAACCUAUAUGAGUUGUCUGUCUCUACACAACUGGCCAUGGAGUACUUUCUCCUGCUCAGCAAGGCUCAGCGAUGAAUUUCCUGUGAGAUUUGCAUGUGAGCUGUCUCAUUUCCCUGAAACCCUGUCACAAGCCCUGAGGUUGCUACAGAGAAAGAUCUGAAACCCCCGUCAGGGAAGUCCCAUGGAGAACUAUUGCUUUCCCUUCUAGAGUUAGCUCUUUUCCAGAUAGCUGGCUCUCCCCCCUCCCCGCUGUGACUCCCAGGUCACUGAUAGGGCAAAGGGUGGUGGUUGCCUGGGACUAUCCCCAGGCUCUGCUCCUGGCCUCCUCGUCACAUGACUUUGUCUGACUUUCCCCUAUUUCGCUCUUUCCCUAUUGCCCUACUCCCUCACCAAUGGAAAUGUGGAGGGUUCUGUGGCUCUUAGGGGACUCUGGGGCUGUGUUUCAUGUCCUCACUUCCUCUCCACACCACAGGGGAUUCCUAAAGCAGACUGAUUGCCCAGCACCCCAGCAGGCUCCCUCCCCCAGGAUGGAGUGGCCACCUAGGUAGACUGUCCAAAUUCUUUUUAUAAGUCUCAACUGCAACAUACACACACACACACACACACAUACACACAC